AGGCGGCCACAGCAAGCCCACAGGGCAGCUCCCUGCUGCACUGCAAGCCUCUGUCCCACCAUCCCCAGCUCACAGCAAAGCAGACACCUGAAGCAGACGCUGCUCCCCAAAAGCAGUGCACCAAAAGAUGCUGGGGCAGGCACCAUGGGCAAGGCUGUCUCCUUCUGGUCCUGCCGUCCUGCUGCUGGCCCUCUGUACUGGCGUGACCACCCAGGACAUCUGCAGCUCUCCAGGAUUUCGGGAGCAUGGAGGUAACAAGCAGGCUCCAGUCCUGUACCUCAACGCUUCCAGUGCCAAGGAGGGGGAAAUAGUGUUGCUUCAAUGUACCAUUGAUGAGCAGUUUCCUGCUACGCGAGUUGUCUUCUGCAAGAAUGGGCUGGAGGAGUUCAGCCUGAAAGCCCAGCAGGGAAAGGUCAUCUACACUAUGGACUUGAGCAUCACCUCCAGAAGUGCUGGGAUGUACACGUGUGGGUACCAGCAAAAGAACAAGGAAAACUGGGUGAGGAACUCUGCUCUCAGUGCUCCCCGGACCUUGUCUGUGGCAGGUGCAGGUGCUGGUGAGACCACCACUGAUAUCCAGAGCUCCCCAGCUCCACAUGCCCGGAUUCUGCACACCCUCCCCACAGGCACGGUGCUGGCAGUGGCGGCCGUCGGCCUCGUCCUCCUGGCUGCAGGCAGCUGGUUUGCCAUCAGGAAAGGUGCCUGCAGAGGGAGAUGCCCAAGGCAGCAGCACGUUGACAGCCCACAGACGGAAGACACCAACUAUGGUGACAUCCAGUGUGAGUACUACCUCCUCCCUUGGGGGAAGCCACAUGCUCCUCUCCCCAUGAGAAUCCUGUGCGAGCCCCCAUGCAAUCCCACUCCUUCAUUUCCCACUGGGACAUACAAAAUCCCUGCCUAUUCAUCAAGGGACAGGUUUCUCUCCAGCACCUCACGUCCUGCUUCUUCCUUGUAUGAACAGUCCGUGUGGGCUGCUGGCUGCACAAGGGACAUGGCAGUAUCCCAGUGCUCAUAGGGACAAAGCCCAUUUGCCUGGGGGGUCCUUCCACAGCUGCUGCAGCCCCAGGCUUCAAUUCCCCUGCUUCAGCCUCUGCUUUUCUCCUUUCUUCACUUCUUCUACAAAGCGAUUUCUGUUUUCAUGCAGUUGAAAGUACACAGCAGCAAUGAAAGAUGUGGCUCUCUUUCCUUGUGUUUGUGGGGAAAGCCUUUUAUAGUUUGCUUUGAAACCACAGGCAGCAGGCAAGGGAGGAUGUUGUGGUUGGGUCACAGGUAUAGAUAUAUCCUUACCCUACUUGCACCUCCCUCGAGUUGCAGCACGACCUUGUUUACCCACGCUUGCACAAAGCAGCUCACAAGGUGUGCUGGCUGUGCAAAGAGAGGAGAUGCCACAGAAAGCUGGAAAUACACCAAAACCUCAGCAUCUCUGCUCCACUGCUGCUUAAUGCUCAUCCCAGAGCAGGAUGAUAGGAGGGGAAAUGUGGUCAGGUGUUGAGAGCUGACCACAGGCAGCUGCUGCCCAAGGUCAGUGUGAGUUUCAGCUCUCCACCAACAGGCAGCAAGGACUCAUCAAGUGUUUUUUCCCACAGACUCCACCAUCGCCCACGUUCGACGGGACAGGCCUCGUCCCAUGCAGCACAUGAGAAACACCACGACAUAUGCCACGGUGACCUGCACCCAGAUCCGAUAGCGCUGCCACAGGGCAAGGGCACAGGAGCCUUGUCCACAGCUGCCUUUGCUUUCCUGCAGAGGGCUCCUGCAGCCAUAACGUGGGGCUGGGGGUUGCACUUUGGUCUUCUUUGGGGUUUGUUAUCACAGGGAAGGGCUGUGAGUGUCUAGCCAAGACGAUAUAGGACUCAUACCUCCAUCUACAAUACAUUAAUACUUCCAAAAUAUAUGAGCUAUACCAAA